UUUCAGGUUCUUCAGUGGUGGUGUGCUGCUCUUCGCUUAGAGAACUAGGAGAGGGGACCGCCAUCUGCUGCCAGCUGGAGCCAGGGCACUGGCUGUCUCCGGUUGGUGGUGGGGAUGGAGCGGUCGAAGGGUGGCCUGCAGUGGGAGCUUUUCCUGCCGGGCAGGAGGAAGAGUAGAAGGGAGAGGCACGGACGCAUGCUGGAGGCUGGAGCUUGCGCCACCGCAGCUCGCCUCGCUGCGGUUGGUGGUGAUGUCGGACACUGCAGGUCUUCCAGAGUGGUAGACGUGCCGUUGGGUAGGCUUUUCUGGCUUUGCCCUCCCAGCUGCUCCAAGCCAGGAUGGAGGAGGAGGACAAGGAAGAGUCACCUGUGGUAAACUGGAGCCUGCAUAUGGCUCUGCAGCUGGUCUCACGAGAUUGGUGGCAGCGACGGAGACUGCAGCUCGACUGGAGUGAAUUAUCAGGAGCCACCAGGUGCUGCAGCAGCUUUGGGAUAACUUGAGGGCGCAUCCUGGGGAAGAAACACCUCCUGUCCAUGGUGCUAACUGCUGAGGACAGUGCUUCGGCGUGGCUUC
rnacentral:lncRNA from 10 species